GCGCCGCGACCCCAAUAGGGCAGAGGGGCCUGUUUCAGAAACAGGUGAGGUCCGGGUUCGAAUCCCGGGUGGCGCA
rnacentral:tRNA from 1 species